UUCGAAUUAAAAAUGGAUGUUCAGGCUUUGCAGAAGAAAAUGCAUCAGAUAAGCCUUCAUUUCUGACGCAAGGUUGAGGAAGUGUUUCAGGCCAAAGGUUUAAUUGCUGUGGAAGCUUUCUUACUCUUGUGCGAUAACAUCUUUCCCUGACAAGGGGGAUCACUCUGCUUGGCAGGUGAGUCUUGUGGUUGUGAAACAAUCCCAGGUACCGGGGCUUCCUUGGUGGUGGUUGUAGGAAUUGACUCUGAACCUCCAGGAAGUGGUUCUGACAUGGUAGCCACCAUUCUUCUCUAACAAAUGAGUCAGCUUCUUCAACUGAUCGAUGUGUCACCUCCAAAUGACAUCAGACACAAUCUCCACUGUGUAGGAGAGUAGUAAUGUUCUGUCCUUAAUCUUUCCAAGUACCCACUUUCAGUCACCUCUGUAGGCCCUCACCAGGACUACUUCCCCAGGAGUAAAACAUCGAACCCUCUUGUUUGAGGAACCUUCAAUUUGUCUCAGCUGUUUGCCCUGCAUCCUCCUCCUGAGACUGGGAUUGAGGAGAUCCAAGCGUGAACACAAGGGACGACCCAUGAACAGCAUGGCUGGAAUGACUGAAACUGAUCCACCAGAAAAUGUGGUCCAUUGUCACUGACUACGUGUUCUGGAACACCAGUCCUUGCAAAGUGGCUUCUCAGUACAUCAACGGUGCGUGAGGCUGUAGGGGAGGCUAUUGGAAGCACUUUUGGCCACUUUGUCGCUGCCUCCACUACUACCAAGAAAUUGGUGCCCAUGAAUAGUCUGGCAAAAUCCACAUGAUUCCUCUGCCAGAGCAAUGCAGACUAUUCUGAGGGAUGAAGAGGUGCUACUCUCGGCAAUCUCUGCAUGUGUUGGCAUUCCAAACAAUGCAUGGCAAGCUGCUUGAUCUGCUGAUCUAUCUCAGGCUAACAGACAAAGCUUCAAGCCACCACUUUCAUUUUAACUACACUUAGAUAACCAGCAUGUAGCUCCUCCAAUACUUCAGCUUUCUAUCCCCACAUAAGAAAAUCUCCAUCAAGGGUAUGUUCAUCUUGGCGCUGGUAAAAAAUGGAAGAACUGGAGUUUCUGCUGCACAUUCCAGCUAUUUUGGGUGACCAUGUAGACCUGAGACAGUGUGAGGUCUAUCCUAGUUUCCCUUUGGAUCAUCUCUGCUGUAACUUUUGAUUUAAGUUUGAGAAAAUACGUCAAGAGGAGUGUCUGGUUUUUUUUGUAAAUUUUCCUGGCAUUUCCUUUUCCAAAGGCAAAUGGGACAAUCCAUCAACAUUUCUAUGAUUAGUCAUCGUCUUGAAUUCAGUCCUGUGUAGUUGUGUUCUCCAAGAAACAAAGCCCAUCUCUGCAUUUGUGCUACUACUGUUAAUGGGACAUCCUACUGUGGAUUGGAAAUGGACUCUGGUGGCAGGUGAUCAGUAAUGAGGGUAAACUCUCUGCCAUACAAGUACUGGUUAAAAAGUU